GGGGGUGUUUUCAAGAUUCGCCCGGCGUUGAAGGAGAUUCGGUAAGCGUGCCGCAGUGCCUACUGCGUAUCAAGGCAAACUUAAAUUAAACGCUAAUAAUAGCACAAGCCGUUCUUACAACAGAGUGGCACUCGCUGCGUAACUUAAUCGCGCGCAUCGCACCGCACCAUUACACACGGUGAGGAUUGCGGUGUCAGACAGUGUGUAUCGCAAGUCGCUGUUUGGUUUGACGGCGGUUUGUUAAAUCAAUAAACCUCAACGAUGUUUUCCCUGUCUGUCGGGGAGGCAACGCAAAACUUAAAGACAGACUUUGCACGGAGAAAACCGAGUAGUCUUGCGUUGGUACACGGGUGCAAUUCCCGUCACCUCCACCA
rfam:Corallococcus sp. CAG:1435 genomic scaffold, scf191